rnacentral:rRNA from 1 species
UACGUAGGGUGCGAGCGUUGUCCGGAAUUAUUGGGCGUAAAGGGCUCGUAGGCGGUUUGUCGCGUCGGGAGUGAAAAUCCAGGGCUUAACUCUGGACUGGCUUCCGAUACGGGCAGACUAGAGGUAUGCAGGGGAGAACGGAAUUCCUGGUGUAGCGGUGAAAUGCGCAGAUAUCAGGAGGAACACCGGUGGCGAAGGCGGGAUCCUGGGCCAGUACUGACGCUGAGGAGCGAAAGCGUGGGGAGCAAACAGG